rnacentral:lncRNA from 1 species
GGAACAGGGCUCAGAGAAGCAAUAAUGGUGACUGACGCAGGCGGGAAAAUUCCCAGAGUGAGGGGGAAGAGGGAGCCGGCUGCACAGAAGCUGUGAGCUGCUGACACAAGUCCAAGGUGGGUGAGGUCCUGGGGUCAGGUCUGGCCGCCCAGCCACUGAAGCCAAGACUGGACAUCAUUCUCUGAUUUCUCUUUAACUCACCUCCACCACUGACUCCAACAGCAGGUCCCACUACUCUACCUGUGUAGCACUUCCCAGCUUCCACCUGUUGUUUCCACAUCUCCACCACCCUCCACCAAGCUGCCUCACCUCUACUGGGACCCUUCAGCAGGUCCCACUACUCUACCUGUGUAGCACUUCCCAGCUUCCACCUGUUGUUUCCACAUCUCCACCACCCUCCACCAAGCUGCCUCACCUCUACUGGGACCCUUCAGGCCACAACCACAGGUGCACCAAGUGAAACCCCAAUUCCUUUCCAAUUGCAACCUCCCUCUCUGGCCCCUGCUCACCCCAUUCCAUGCCACCCCCAGCCUCAUUUGGCUGCUGAUACUCACUGAGCCUCUACCCCAGCCCCACAGGCAUGACUCUGCUGCAUUACUUCUGGUCUCUGAACAAAUAAAUGCCUCCUUCUCAGCUUCAAAGUCUCAGCUGUACUGAAUAGCCUCAGACCACCUAGUCUCAAGGACUCCCCUCCCCCUUCACUCCCCAAGGACCCCACCCUGAGCCUGGAGAUGCAACUGCCAGGAUGCUGGAGAGAUGGGAGCUUGUGAGCUCGCCAGUGUCUACCCAGCCCCAGCUGCUCCUGCUAUUUGUGGUUUGCACAAGGGAAUAAUUAAGUGCUCUCAUGAAAAGACCUCCCAUUGGGCCUGGAGCCAGUAAGAAUACAGCCAAGAUGGUAAAAAGAAUUAAUACAAAGUGCGAUCACUUCCUGGCUUCAUUUAAUUCCAACACACAGAGCACCUAGUGGGUGCAGGCUACAAGGGACCCAAACAUGAGAAUACUGUCUUUUGUCCUCCCUGUUGCACCCCAGCCUCCAGUCAAGGGGGUGGUUGUUGCUGUCAUUUAGUUGCUAAGUUGUUUCGCUUUGUAACCACAUGAACUGUAGCUGGCCAGGUUCCUCUGUCCAUGGGAUUUCCCAGGCAAGAAUACUAGAGUGGGUUGCCAAGCCCUCCACUAGGGGAUCUUCCCGACACAGGGACUGAACCCACGUCUCCCGCAUUGGGAGGCGGGUUCUUUACCAUUCAGCCAUCAGGGAAGCCCAGUGUAGGGGGUGGAAGUGCUAAAAACAGUCCCUCUUCCUGAGAUGGAUUUUGAUGGUCCCAGGCCCAGUUUGUGGCCCUUUUGCCACUCAUCCUCUGUGAGUAUGCAGCCCCAGGGCCUUAAC